rnacentral:rRNA from 1 species
UACGAAGGGGGCAAGCGUUGUCCGGAUUUACUGGGCGUAAAGGGCGUGCAGGCGGUCUGUUAAGUCAGGGGUGAAAGCUCCCGGCUCAACUGGGAGAGGGCCUUGGAUACUGGCGGACUUGAGUGAGGUAGAGGAGAGUGGAAUUCCCGGUGUAGUGGUGAUAUGCGUAGAUAUCGGGAGGAACACCAGUGGCGAAGGCGGCUCUCUGGGCCUUUCCUGACGCUGAGACGCGAAAGCGUGGGGAGCGAACCGG